AGGGCUUGGUGGCUUAAUGGUAGAGC
rnacentral:piRNA from 1 species